AUAAAUAUGUGCCUUCAGAAACAGACAUUUUCCUUCUUCUGUUAUUCUACCUAAGUGGAGGGUAAGUUAAUUAAAUUUCUGACUCAACUGGUGGCUAGUUUGCAGCUUUAGUUUGAGUUGGUUCCCUACUGGCUUCAAAUUUUCGAGGGGUUUUCUUUGCAAACUAUGCACUAUCAUCUUCACUACUAUUGCAUUUUUCAUAUACAAACGUCGUCUAAAUGAGAACACUGACUUCCCAGAUGUAACUGUGAAGAAUCCAAAAGUUAAGAAAAAAGAAGAAACUGACUUGUAACUGGAUCAUCAUUGUAUUCUCCAAGAUUUGUUUCUGUGCCCAACUUUCAGAAGAGGAAAAUCACACAUUAUGUUUACAUAAGUAGCAAAAAUAUAUUUAUGGUGAUCUGCAUUUUCAUAAUAAAGUGUCC
rnacentral:lncRNA from 1 species